ensembl:lncRNA
UUUUAAGCCAUUAGGGUUUAUUCUUGACUCUUGAUUCAUGAUAAGGUACGGUUUAGGAAAUUACAUUUAAAUUACUUUGAAACUCUGAAGCGAUAGAGUAGCCUAAUAGGCUAUAUGUAAAAUUAUUUUAUGCACUUAGGUGAAAAUUGUUUUUCAUUUCUUGAUUAAUAAUUCCUUUUGUAAAACUUACUUGGCAAUAAAUAUCUUUCUGAUUCUGAUUAGGUUUUAAAAUAGAUAUUUAAUUCAUGGUAUGAACAAUUUAGCUGAAUAAAUUGAUGAAGUUAGACUUUUCACUAAUGCCUGGCUACAUCAGUGAACAGUGAAAGACAUCUGCAACAUGGCCAAAAUCUUGGGUAGGUCUAUACUUUAUAAUUUUUAUUAAUUUGCAACCAUGGUAAUAGCCUAUCAUAAACAGGAAAAUCUCUUGUUUUGACCUGAUCAGAAGGAUAAACUAAAAUCUAAAAGCUCCUCUGGUUUCACAGCUGCACUGGCAGAUUUAUGAAAUAUUUAGGAAAUAUUUCGUCUUUCUGCCAUUCCAGGAAAUGUCAUUUUAUGUCUUUCAUUUUUUUCCAACCUCGAUUUUUUUUUUUUUUUUUUUUUUACUUUUUACAUGUAUAAGGGAUUAAUUUGCAAUUGCGACCUGUACAAAUGUUUAAGACAGUAAAACACUUAAAAAAAUGUAAACACAUUAUAAAUGUUAGAAAGUAUAGGUUUUCACCAUUGCUGUGUUCAGGAUUUUUUUUGGGCGGAGUUAAAACGUGGCUCGAUGACGCACUGGAGCCACUGAGCUCCUGGCCCCUCCCCAAACAACAUAACUAGAGCACACAUUCGCGUCAGUUCGCCGUUCAAUCGCGAGUUUCUGUGGACUACCAUCGUUUAAAUACCUUGACCGGAGCAUAACUGGUUAACUUCACACAAGAGACCUACUGUUGGACAAUCGUUUUGGCUUUAAAGGUAAAUGCAUUGUUAGUUACAAUGUCUAGUUACUGGGCCAAAAGGAGACGAAUAUUGAAAGGAGUUGAGAGGGACAAACAGGAAAUUGCAGCUGCAAACGAUGCUCUACUUGCUGUUAUUCCUGACUUUGACCAAGUAAAUCCUCCUGUAAAUGAACAUCAACAUGGAAUGGCUUCAACAAGCUAUUGGCCCCCAUUUAACCUCCGCAAAAAAGACAAAGGCAACAAUUUAGCCAUCCGCUGCACGCCUCCACACAGCACCUGGGAGAAACAUCAUUUUAAGUUUAUGAAGGGAGCAGAAUGUUGGCAAGAGGCGAUGAGAUAUUUGGUGCGCUUCCAAACAGGUUCUAGCGUUGAAACGACGGACGAUGACAAGAAGAGAAAGAGAAAGAGAAUCUCAAAUUCCAAGUACAGACCCCAGGCCUCUUCUGAUGAAGAGGAGUCUAGUCUUCCAGAUGCACCAGCAGUGCUGUCGUUUGGACAACCUCUUUUGAGCUUUGAAAACAUUGUUCCUGGUAACAAGGUUUCAGUGCUGCCUGAUGCUCCAGAAGUUGCAUCGAUUCCAGAAAACCAGGAAAAUGUUGUGCCAUCUGUAGACUUCAGAGGUGAACCAGGUUUCUCCCCAGAAAUUCAGACUCCACUUCACAGAGCCAAGAGUUUGAGUACAAGACACUUGACUGGUUACUCGCCGCAGCAGUUUCUGGAUGAAAGGUGUCGAGCUCGUCAAGUACUAAGCUUUACACCCCCAGCAGCAAAUUUACCCUGGCAGCAUAUGGGUGAAAACUCUGGAGGAGAAAGUCAUCGCUCUGUAAUUGGCCCUUGGACUCCCCUGGCAUCUCGUGUACAGCAUGAAGUUUUCAGCUAUGAAGAUUUCCAGAGACUCCAGAAUGAAAAACAAGCCGUGAACCAAGCUCUGAGGGAGGAGAACCAAGCUCUGAGGGAGGAGAACCAAGCUCUGAGGGAAAGCACUGCACGAGCAGCUUCGGAUGACAGCGGCUCACUUCAAGAGCAGGUGAAGCAAGUUGGGACAAUGUUGAAGACGUUUGCUCGCACUGGGCAAUCAGGUGCAGAUCAGACCUUAAUGCUGCGACGUCUUGGAGAGUUUGGCGAUGUUGUGCGUAGCAUGGACAACAAAAUGGACACUAUGCUGCAACAUUUCAGUGCCAAUGGAAGAUUUGGCGUUGCUUGACAACAGUUUGAGGCAGGAUAAAGAGCUCCAGGAACGAUUUCUUCGGUUUUUGGCAAUCAAAUGUGGGAGGGACCUAAAGACAACCGUCUGGCGGAUGCUUCAAAGUAUCUUCUCUAAUCACCUUCCAUCAAUACAACCUGGACUGGAGUUGGGGAUAAAGCAUGUUUUAGAGACAUGUUCCUGAAGACCAUUGUUCAAAGUAAGUUGGAUGUAAAAAAAAAAAUAAAAAAUAAAAAAUAUAUGUUUAGUAGAUGUGUAUGGCAUUAUGCCAUUCAAAUGGAAUGACAGAUCUGUAUUUUCUACAGGAGCCAUCCGGAAGAACCCGGCAACACAGGAUGCCACUGAUGAAGCCAUCCAGGUUAACGUUACGCGUUACCUGAAAGGAGCAUCUGACCGUGAAGGCGGAAAAAGGCGCCGCACAGCUGAGAGGGACCCACAGCCGACCCCUUAAACCUAGGCUGACUACUGACAUCCCAGCAUCACUGACAACUGGAACCCUUUCUUUAUCCUGCAGUCAGUAACAUCAAGACCCCUAAAGAAGCCAGAAGUGUCAGACUGCACUCCCCAAUCCACACUGUUCACUGUGGAUAUUAUCAUAGUGCUUAACUUAUUAUAUUG